GUUUCCUCAAGAUUAAUACUAGCAGGCGAUAUAGUGGCAAUAAUCGACGUUUUUGUACGACCACCUAAUGACUCCUGCAGUAAUCUUACAAAAUAUUUGUUACCGAUAAGGUAUAUGAGGUGCUCUUUCAACAAGAGCUGUUAUAACUCGGCCAAGAGUCAAUAAAGACUGAUUUAUGCUGCCAGCUUCUCUUGCUCUCUUGUCUACAGAGCCAGAUCUUCCAACGUUUUCACUGCCAGCUAGGUCCACUAAAUUUAAUUUUCCCGUUUUUAGAAUCUCUUCACCAUCAAUAGUACUUUCUUUCAUGUGUAUAGUGAUUGAGAAUAUUGUAUGAGACCGACUGUAAUUAUGUUUAAAUAUUAAACCAAUAUAUUCCGAAACAUAAAGUUAUAUAAUAUACAAAAUAUUUAUAAGCAUGCAUCAUGAACAAUUAUGAAAAAAAAGAUAGAGGAAUAACCUAGAUUGAGCAUUCAUCAAUGUUGCAGCUGUUUGCCUUUUAUCUGCUCCUUUCUUAAGAAUUUUAUAAACUUCACUUGUAUUGUGUAUUGUCACUUCUUCUAACCCAUGUAUAAUUACUGCACCUUUCUUCGAUGCAUCUUCGUACAAUCUAUUCAAUUAGAUGAAUAAAACAAUUGGUCAAAAUAUUUAAGCAUUUCCUUUUGAUUUAAAAAACUUGUAUUACAUACCUCAAUUUAGAUGCGUCACUGCUAGUUGAUAAAAGAUCAAACAAAUCUUCAUUAUAGAGUUCAAGAAAACUAACUCUAAUUGUAUAUUCUUGUAUCUCUAAUAAUUGCAAUUUGUAAAAUAAAUGAUUUAAGGAACGUGGUAUCAUACCAGCAGAUGAAUCCUAGAAUAUAUAUAAAUGUAAAUAAUGCUCUUUCAUAUUUUACAUGACUACUAACUGAUUAUUUUAUUUUGUUACUAUCAUUAUUAUUACCCUCUAGUAUGACCCUCUAGAUUAGUCAUAUAAUUUAUUAUUGAAUACUUUUUAAAAACACUAUACUUUUGUAUAAAUUUAUUUAUAAUUAAAAUUUUAUAUUAUGCGAAUAAAUAAGUGUAGAAAAUAUCUUACACUAUUCCAAUGUAAAGUUGGAUCAAUGUUAAUUCCUUCCAUUGUGUAUGUUUUCCCAGUGCCAGUUUGACCAUAUGCAAAUACUGUACAGUUAUAUCCAGCCAAAACUUGCUCCAAUAAUGGACUAACAACAUUAUUAUACACAUCGAUCUGUCAAUUAAAAAUAUAUAGUAAACUGUUAUUUCUUUAAA